rnacentral:rRNA from 2 species
GACAGAGGGGGCAAGCGUUGUCCGGACUAACUGGGCGUAAAGCGCGCGCAGGCGGAGACGGGCGUCGGUGCUGAAAGCGCACCGCUUAACGGUGCAACGCGUGCCGAUACGCCGUCUCUGGAGGGCGGGCGAGGGUGGUGGAAUUGCCGGUGUAGUGGUGAAAUGCGUAGAGAUCGGCAGGAACACCCGUGGCGUAAGCGGCCACCUAGCCCGUACCUGACGCUGAGGCGCGACAGCGUGGGGAGCGAACUGG